AGAAGGUCACCAUCCCUGGACUCCUGGGCCUUAUCAACGAGGGUACAGACACACAAAUAGGUGGGACAAGACUGUCUUCCUCAGAAUAUCUGCAAGAGGAGAGCUCUCUGGAAUUGUGAUCUGAAGAGUCAAGGGCCAUGGAGGGCUAAGAAGCAGGACAGUGAUUAAGGAAACACACUCCGGCUUUCACGUGGAGAAGUGGCUGUCCUGGACAAAGUCAGCCGCGGCCAGGCCAUGCCGGAAGCUGCUGCAGUACCAGAGUUCCUCCUCAUGUUAGAGACCAAUACUUCAUGCAUCUGACCUGACUUGGGAUUUUUAGUUUUAAGUGAAGAGUCAAGCGUGGAGUUCUCAGUGGAAUGUAAUAGUCAUCUCCACCCCUGGACCCAGGCCUAGAAUUCAGUCUUUCUGCUAUGGACCAACUUUCAACGCACUGUAUAUUUGGGGAAUUUUGUGUAUCUGUGUGUUAUAUCUUUCAAUUCCCAUUCAUUUGGGAAAAGAACCUCACAAGUAUGACCAACUAAAAAAGUCAUGUCAUCUUUUUAAAGAUGACAUUAGCUAACAAUUAGCUAACUUGACAAAAACCAAAUGACUGUCCAAAACAUAACUGGUGGCCAGCCCUGCAGAAGAUAACAUUCUUAUGGAAAAUGUUGUCUUUUCUGCUUAAUCAUAAAGAUUGGAUUUGUUCCAACUCUUUCCCAUAGGUUCAAGAUGGAAACCACCUCAUUCAAGGAGCUCUGGGUCUUGCCUAGGGUCUUACCCAGCAUGUAGGAUUCUUUGGGGCCCAGAGAAAUUCUUCGGGUGAUCCUGGACCCUAGGUAUACAGCUGGAUAUCUAAGAAUAUGUAUGGAUUAGCAUUUGUGAGUGAUCUUUGGUUCCAGAGUGGACUGAAAUCUCUGAGAUCCCAUAGGGGCUGAUGGAUUCAGGCACAAAAAUUCUGUCAGUCCAGUUGAGACUCCUGCGUUUAAGACUGACCAAAGCCAGCCCUGGUUUUACAGCUAAGAGGGAAAGUCACUUUUACUUAGGUGUCACUUAUCUUGCUUUGGAAUUAAAUGCUCUUUUGUUCUGUUAUUAUUUUUGUUGCUUUCAAAAGACAGUCUAACAGAAUGAGGGGGAGAUUCACUAUCACUUAAUUUUCAUGAUAAUAAGUAGACCCACUAGUGCCGGCAAUGUGCUAGGAUUUCCAUCAGUGUGUGUUUAUUACUAUGGGUACUAAAGCUGUAUAGUUCUACUUCAGAAUGUCAAGAACUUCAUAUGUAUUUUCUAAACCUCAUUUUUUUCUUCUAAAAUGUACUUGUUUUCCUCUUACCUAAGAAACUUGCAUUAAACGGUUACGGAUUCUUUCUGUCUCUUGUCCUAUUGCUGUGCUCGCCCUGCCAAAUGCCAGGUCCCACAGGUCCCGUUUCCUCCAUGAACAGCAUCCUUCCCCAUUCUAACAGAGUAGCCGUGACCAAGCCUUGCU